UACGAAGGGGGCUAGCGUUGUUCGGAAUUACUGGGCGUAAAGCGCGUGUAGGCGGACCGGUAAGUUGGGGGUGAAAGCCCAGAGCUCAACUCUGGAACUGCCUUCGAUACUGCAGACCUGGAGCAUGAUAGAGGCGAGUGGAAUUGCGAGUGUAGAGGUGAAAUUCGUAGAUAUUCGGAAGAACACCAGUGGCGAAGGCGGCUCACUGGCGCAUUUCUGACGCUGAGGUGCGAAAGCGUGGGGAGCAAACAGG
rnacentral:rRNA from 1 species